rnacentral:rRNA from 1 species
CAUGCAAGUCGAGGGGAAACGACAUCGAAAGCUUGCUUUUGAUGGGCGUCGACCGGCGCACGGGUGAGUAACGCGUAUCCAACCUGCCCAUCACUUGGGGAUAACCUUGCGAAAGUAAGACUAAUACCCAAUGACGUCUCUAGAAGACAUCUGAAAGAGAUUAAAGAUUUAUCGGUGAUGGAUGGGGAUGCGUCUGAUUAGCUUGUUGGCGGGGUAACGGCCCACCAAGGCGACGAUCAGUAGGGGUUCUGAGAGGAAGGUCCCCCACAUUGGAACUGAGACACGGUCCAAACUCCUACGGGAGGCAGCAGUGAGGAAUAUUGGUCAAUGGGCGAGAGCCUGAACCAGCCAAGUAGCGUGCAGGAUGACGGCCCUAUGGGUUGUAAACUGCUUUUAUAAGGGAAUAAAGUGAGUCUCGUGAGACUUUUUGCAUGUACCUUAUGAAUAAGGACCGGCUAACUCCGUGCCAGCAGCCGCGGUAAUACGGAAGGUCCGGGCGUUAUCCGGAUUUAUUGGGUUUAAAGGGAGCGUAGGCCGGAGAUUAAGCGUGUUGUGAAAUGUAGAUGCUCAACAUCUGCACUGCAGCGCGAACUGGUUUCCUUGAGUACGCACAAAGUGGGCGGAAUUCGUGGUGUAGCGGUGAAAUGCUUAGAUAUCACGAAGAACUCCGAUUGCGAAGGCAGCUCACUGGAGCGCAACUGACGCUGAAGCUCGAAAGUGCGGGUAUCGAACAGGAUUAGAUACCCUGGUAGUCCGCACGGUAAACGAUGGAUGCCCGCUGUUGGUCUGAAUAGGUCAGCGGCCAAGCGAAAGCAUUAAGCAUCCCACCUGGGGAGUACGCCGGCAACGGUGAAACUCAAAGGAAUUGACGGGGGCCCGCACAAGCGGAGGAACAUGUGGUUUAAUUCGAUGAUACGCGAGGAACCUUACCCGGGCU